rnacentral:rRNA from 1 species
AGAGUUUGAUCCUGGCUCAGAACGAACGCUGGCGGCGUGGCUAAGACAUGCAAGUCGAACGGACUGCUCAAUUUAUUGGACAGUUAGUGGCGAAAGGGUUAGUAACGGGUAGGUAACGUACCUUGUGCUUUGGGAUAGCGUCAGUAACUUCGGUUACUUUCCGAAAGGGGCGGUAAUACCAAAUAAUAUCAUUUGUCGAUAGGCGAAUGAUCAAAGAUUUAUCGGCACGGGAGCGGCCUGCCUCCUAUCAGCUUGUUGGUGAGGUAACGGCUCACCAAGGCAGCGACGGGUAGCGGGACUGAGAGGUUGACCCGCAACAUCGGGACUGAGACACUGCCCGGACCUCCACGGAGGGCUGCAGUAACGGAUAUUGCGCAAUGGGCGAAAGCCUGACGCAGCGACGCCGCGUGUAGGAUGAAGUCUUUCGGGAUGUAAACUACUGUCAGGGGGAAGAAAGUGCGCUUCGGCGUAUUGGUCUAACCCAGAGGAAGUCACGGCUAACUUCGUGCCAGCAGCCGCGGUAAGACGAAGGUGGCAAGCGUUGUUCGGUAUUACUGGGCUUAAAGCGUGUGUAGGCGGAAAUGUAAGCGUUGCGUGAAAGCCCCCGGCUUAACCGGGGAACUGCGCAACGAACUGCAUUUCUUGAGGCAAGUAGGGGUACAUGGAACUCUUGGUGGAGCGGUGGAAUGCGUAGAUAUCAAGAGGAACGCCAGUGGAGAAAUCGGUGUACUGGGCUUGUACUGACGCUGAGACACGAAAGCGUGGGGAGCGAACGGGAUUAGAUACCCCGGUAGUCCACGCCGUAAACGAUGCCUACUAGGUUGUGGUGG